UACAGACGUACUUACAGAGUCUUAUAAUAAUAAUCAGACAGGUUAAAGUAAAGUGGCAGUAAUCAGUGACCCACAGGUCAGAACAGGUCAGUUAAAGUAAAGUGGCAGUAAUCAGUGACACACAGGUCAGAACAGGUCAGUUAAAGUAAAGUGGCAGUAAUCAGUGACACACAGGUCAGAACAGGUCAAGUUAAAGUAAAGUGGCAGUAAUCAGUGACACACAGGUCAGAACAGGUCAGUUAAAGUAAAGUGGCAGUAAUCAGUGACACACAGGUCAGAACAGGUCAGUUAAAGUGAUGUGGCAGUAAUCAGUGACACACAGGUCAGAACAGGUCAGUUAAAGUGAUGUGGCAGUAAUCAGUGACACACAGGUCAGAACAGGUCAGUUAAAGUAAAGUGGCAGUAAUCAGUGACACACAGGUCAGAACAGGUCAGUUAAAGUAAAGUGGCAGUAAUCAGUGACACACAGGUCAGAACAGGUCAAGUUAAAGUGGCAGUAAUCAGUGACACACAGGUCAGAACAGGUCAGUUAAAGUGAUGUGGCAGUAAUCAGUGACACACAGGUCAGAACAGGUCAAGUUAAAGUGGCAGUAAUCAGUGACACACAGGUCAGAACAGGUCAGUUAAAGUAAAGUGGCAGUAA